UAUAGGAGCCCUGUAGCCCCCUAUCUGCCUUCAUGCCAUGGUUGGAGCCUUCAUCCUCCUCUUCCUCCAUUGGUUUUGCACAUUGGGGUUCCAUCAUGUCACGCACUGAGUCCCAGCUCCCUUCUCUUUGUCUUUGUGCCAUGAUUGGAGCCUUCCUCCUCCUCCUCUUCCUCACAUUUGCCUUCGUGCCACGGUUGGAGCCGCCUUCUUCCUCCUCCUCCUCUUCCUCCUUCUCUUCCUCUUCUUCCUCUUCUUCCCUUCCUCUUCCUCUUCCUCCUCCUCUUUCUCUUCCCUUCCCCUUCCUCUUCCUCCUCCUCUUCCUCUUCCUCUUCCUCCUCCUUUUCCUCUUCCCCUUCCUCCUCCUCUUCCUCCUCGUCCUCCUCUUCCUCCUCCUCUUCCUCUUCCUCCUCCUCCUCUUCCUCCUUCUGACUUGCGGAAUCAAACUCUAUAAUCCAGAGAUGGGUUAUAAAGCAGGUAUGUUUAUUCCAGCGUUGCGCAGCGCCGGGUGCAAGGGGGAUAGCUCCACCAAACUUGCACACCGUAAAGAGAAAAGUGUGUUACAGAUAUAGGUUAAGCUAAUACAUAAUCAAUAGUCUCCUCCUCAGUUUGAUUACAU
rnacentral:lncRNA from 1 species